AGCAUUACAGGUACACCACCAAUGCCUGC
rnacentral:piRNA from 1 species